rnacentral:rRNA from 1 species
UCCUACGGGAGGCAGCAGUAGGGAAUCUUCCGCAAUGGACGAAAGUCUGACGGAGCAACGCCGCGUGAGUGAUGAAGGUUUUCGGAUCGUAAAGCUCUGUUGUUAGGGAAGAACAAGUGCGAGAGUAACUGCUCGCACCUUGACGGUACCUAACCAGAAAGCCACGGCUAACUACGUGCCAGCAGCCGCGGUAAUACGUAGGUGGCAAGCGUUGUCCGGAAUUAUUGGGCGUAAAGGGCUCGCAGGCGGUUUCUUAAGUCUGAUGUGAAAGCCCCCGGCUCAACCGGGGAGGGUCAUUGGAAACUGGGAAACUUGAGUGCAGAAGAGGAGAGUGGAAUUCCACGUGUAGCGGUGAAAUGCGUAGAGAUGUGGAGGAACACCAGUGGCGAAGGCGACUCUCUGGUCUGUAACUGACGCUGAGGAGCGAAAGCGUGGGGAGCGAACAGGAUUAGAUACCCUGGUAGUCCACGCCGUAAACGAUGAGUGCUAAGUGUUAGGGGGUUUCCGCCCCUUAGUGCUGCAGCUAACGCAUUAAGCACUCCGCCUGGGGAGUACGGUCGCAAGACUGAAACUCAAAGGAAUUGACGGA